rnacentral:rRNA from 1 species
UACGUAGGGGGCAAGCGUUAUCCGGAUUUACUGGGUGUAAAGGGAGCGUAGACGGUUACGCAAGUCUGGAGUGAAAGGCGGGGGCCCAACCCCCGGACUGCUUUGGAAACUGGUUGACUUGAGUGCAGAAGAGGGAAGUGGAAUUCCAUGUGUAGCGGUGAAAUGCGUAGAGAUAUGGAGGAACACCAGUGGCGAAGGCGGCUUCCUGGUCUGCAACUGACACUGAGGCGCGAAAGCGUGGGGAGCAAACAGG